rnacentral:tRNA from 1 species
GGGCCUAUGGCGCAAUUGGUAGCGCGUAGUAAGUCUAUAAAAACAUCUAGUUUGUCAAGAACAUUGUCUAACAAAUUCUUAUAGCGACUCCAGAUCGUAAGGUUAUCCGUUCGAUUCGGGUUGGGCUCA